CCUACGGGAGGCAGCAGUGAGGACUAUUGGUCCAUGGGCGCGAGCCUGAACCAGCCAAGUAGCGUGAAGGAUGACUGCCCUACGGGUUGUAAACUUCUUUUAUAAAGGAAUAAAGUGAGGCACGUGUGCCUUUUUGUAUGUACUUUAUGAAUAAGGAUCGGCUAACUCCGUGCCAGCAGCCGCGGUAAUACGGAGGAUCCGAGCGUUCUCCGGAUUUAUUGGGUUUAAAGGGCGCGUAGAUGGGUUGUUAAGUCAGUUGUGAAAGUUUGCGGCUCAACCGUAAGAUUGCAGUUGAUACUGGCAGUAUUGAGUACAGGUGAGGUAGGCGGAAUUCGUGGUGUAGCGGUGAAAUGCUUAGAUAUCACGAAGAACUCCGAUUGCGAAGGCAGCUUACUAAACUGCCACUGACAUUGAUGCUCGAAAGUGUGGGUAUCAAACAGGAUUAGAUACCCUUGUAGUC
rnacentral:rRNA from 1 species